rnacentral:rRNA from 1 species
GAGGGUGGACAGGUGGUGCAUGGUUGUCGUCAGCUCGUGUCGUGAGAUGUUGGGUUAAGUCCCGCAACGAGCGCAACCCUCGACCUUAGUUGCCAGCAUUCAGUUGGGCACUCUAAGGUGACUGCCGGCUAAAAGUCGGAGGAAGGUGGGGAUGACGUCAAAUCAUCAUGCCCCUUAUGACCUGGGCUACACACGUGCUACAAUGGGCGGUACAAAGGGUCGCGAACCCGCGAGGGGGAGCCAAUCCCAAAAAGCCGCUCUCAGUUCGGAUUGCAGGCUGCAACUCGCCUGCAUGAAGCCGGAAUCGCUAGUAAUCGCGGAUCAGCAUGCCGCGGUGAAUACGUUCCCGGGCCUU